rnacentral:lncRNA from 1 species
GUAAAGAACUGGAAUUUGAAGCAAAGCUGAGAGAGCGUGUUGAUUUCAACUGCUGACAGUUAUAACAAUUUUUUAUGUCAAUUACUCUCUCUGGCAGUUGGGAGUUGGUCUCUGGCAGUUGGCAGAGAAGCAGUCUCAGACUCUCUCAGGGCUGGUGGAGGCCCUAAGCACUCCACAGUGCUUUGCUGCAUCGCCCUCUCAGCUGUUGAACCUUCUUGUUGGCUUCUUCCGCCUGUUCCGCCGAAGCAGUCUUCACAAGCUGGAUGACCAUCACUGCAGUUUCCAAAUCUUUGCCACCACAGAAGAGCAACUUGAUUCAAAUGAAUAUGCUAAGGAUCAGAGAAGCAAAUUAUGGCUAAUUACCUGAAGUCGCACAGCUAGUGAAUAGCAGAGCUGAGAAUUCACCUUGAUCUUUCAACUUCAAGAUUGGGACACUCCUGCUGCUCUAAACCAUGUUUCUUAAAGGAGGUAUGUUUUAUAUCUUUAAUAUUAUAAAAGAAGUUCUAAUGGAUGUCAAAAGAAGUGAUAAAUUAGUUUAAAGGGUGUUGCAGGCUACAGAUUCAGUACUUGGGACUUUCAAAAAAAGAUACAUUGUCAGUAUGGCCAGCUAAUAAUGAAGUUCUGCUCUUCUUCCCUCAGUGCCCAGAUUAGUCCCAAAACAUGGUUCAGUGAAUAUCAGCACAAGUUUUCUCUUCCCAGGGAAUUAACUCUUGGAGGAGAUAGGUUGAAUCCAAAUGUAAGAAAACUUAGGAAGUAAGGGGAAUAUAAAGAAGUUUUGAAAAUAAAACAGCUAGAAAACAGUGGGUAAGUUGAUAG